CUUAGCUUGCUAAGGCCGAUGGCGACCGGCGCACGGGUGAGUAACACGUAUCCAACCUGCCGUCUACUCUUGGACAGCCUUCUGAAAGGAAGAUUAAUACAAGAUGGCAUCAUGAGUCCGCAUGUUCACAUGAUUAAAGGUAUUCCGGUAGACGAUGGGGAUGCGUUCCAUUAGAUAGUAGGCGGGGUAACGGCCCACCUAGUCUUCGAUGGAUAGGGGUUCUGAGAGGAAGGUCCCCCACAUUGGAACUGAGACACGGUCCAAACUCCUACGGGAGGCAGCAGUGAGGAAUAUUGGUCAAUGGGCGCAGGCCUGAACCAGCCAAGUAGCGUGAAGGAUGACUGCCCUAUGGGUUGUAAACUUCUUUUAUAAAGGAAUAAAGUCGGGUAUGUAUACCCGUUUGCAUGUACUUUAUGAAUAAGGAUCGGCUAACUCCGUGCCAGCAGCCGCGGUAAUACGGAGGAUCCGAGCGUUAUCCGGAUUUAUUGGGUUUAAAGGGAGCGUAGAUGGAUGUUUAAGUCAGUUGUGAAAGUUUGCGGCUCAACCGUAAAAUUGCAGUUGAUACUGGAUAUCUUGAG
rnacentral:rRNA from 1 species